rnacentral:lncRNA from 1 species
GGUUUCAAUGGCCUUUUAAAUUCUUAUUAGCUACAUUAAUCAUCAGGGCGCGUUUGGUUCGCGUUAUCUUUUUAAGAUACCUAGUAAUCCAAUCGGAAUGUGAAAUAUGACGGUGUUUGGCUAAAUACAUUAAGUAAUUUAUUUGGUAAUCUUAAAUUCACUUUGUAAUGAGAUUAAUUCUAAAGUGCUAAUCCUAUUUCCUUGGGAGGAGGUAGGUAUUAUUGGGGUAAUGUUAAAUGUUUUUUAACCUAGCCUAUUGUCUCCUCUCUCCCAACCCAUCCCGAUCCCCUCUCACAGCGAGACUCUUCCCGACCAUAGUUAGUUAAUUUGCGAAUUAUUCACGAAAUUUUUGAAAUGCCGAAUAAAACACCCGUUUUCGUAUUUUUGGAUCCAAAAAUUCGGAAAAAUUCGCGUUUUUUUUGGGUAAAAAGAAUUAUUCGCGAAUUAAACGCGAUUCGCGAAUAAUU